ACGCGUAGGUAACCUGCCUUGUAGCGGGGGAGUAACUAUUGGAAACGAUAGCUAAUACCGCAUAACAAAUGGAUGACUCAUGUCAUUUAUUUUGAAAAGGGGCAAAAUGCUCCACUACAAGAUGGACCUGCGUUGUAUUAGCUAGUAGGUGAGGUAACGGCUCACCUAGGCGACGAUACAUAGCCGACCUGAGAGGGUGAUCGGCCACACUGGAACUGAGACACGGCCCAGACUCCUACGGGAGGCAGCAUG
rnacentral:rRNA from 1 species